GAGAGAUGAGAGGAAGAAGAGAAAGAAGAGAGAUACAGAAGAAAAUACCAGUAAGCUGGGUUAGAGAGAAGAGAGAAAAUAGUAUGAGUUAUCCUUGUACUCCUAUUAUUUCACAUAAUGAAAGAAAGUAUUAUUGCUGCCCCGAUGACGUAGAAACUACUCUUAACUCCAAAACUUUUGGGAACCAUUUCGAUUUUUUCGAAACUCACCAGAGGAGGAACACCAAUUGGGACUAAUUGUUACUUUUACUUCAUGGGUGACUAAAAGGACUUAAAAUUGUGAAAUGAAAAUAAAAUAAAAAUGAUGAAAUAAAAGAAAAGUGAAAUGGGGCUAAAGCUUUUGGAAUGGAGUGGUUUUAGUUGCACCAUAAGAAAAAGUAAAAUUGAUAGUGGGAAGUAAUAACGGCACCACCACUAUGUGAAGAAAAGGUUUUUGGAAUGGUGUGCUGACACCAUGUGAAAAAAAGAAGAAAAAUAAUGAUAUUCAAAAUGGACCCGC